UACGGAGGGUGCAAGCGGUGUCCGGAUUUAUUGGGUUUAAAGGGUGCGUAGGUGGCUUGUUAAGUCCGGGGUGAAAGCCCACAGCUCAACUGUGGAACUGCCCUGGAGACUGGCGAGCUUGAGUCCAGACGAGGUUGGCGGAAUGGAUGCUGUAGCGGUGAAAGGCAUAGAUAGCAUCCAGAACCCCGAUUGCGUAGGCAGCUGCCUAGGCUGGUACUGACACUGAGGCACGAAAGCGUGGGGAGCGAACAGG
rnacentral:rRNA from 1 species